GGGGCCGAUCCGGAUUCGACGUGGGUCGCGAAACAACUCAGGGCAUGCCGAGCACCAGUUCGCUCGUUAAUCCACUGGAACACUACAAACGCCAACGACGAGCGUUUCGCUCUCGCCGCUUAAGCGGUGAGCCGCUGCACUGAUCUGUCCUUGGGUCAGGCGGAGGAAGGCAACUUCCUAGGGGGGCAACCCUCGAACCGCAGCAGCGACAUUCACAAGGAAUCGGUUUGAACUGGGGUCACACGGUUCAAAUUUAAAUUACGUGAAUCGCUCUGGUCCGGCCUGUCGGUUGGCUAAGUCCAGGGUUAAAACUAAAUAGAUCGACUACGCAUGUAGAACUGGUUGCGGAGGGCUUGCGGACGGGGGUUCAAUUCCCCCCGGCUCCACCA
rnacentral:tmRNA from 2 species